CCCCGCUGCCGUGUCCCCUGCGGCCGGCCAGCCGCGUCCCCCAGCCCCGGCCUCCCGCGGACCCAUGCCCGCCCGUAUCGGCUACUACGAGAUCGACCGCACCAUCGGCAAGGGCAACUUCGCGGUGGUCAAGCGGGCCACGCACCUCGUCACCAAGGCCAAGGUUGCUAUCAAGAUCAUAGAUAAGACCCAGUUGGAUGAAGAAAACUUGAAGAAGAUUUUCCGGGAAGUUCAAAUUAUGAAGAUGCUUUGCCACCCCCAUAUCAUCAGGCUCUACCAGGUUAUGGAGACAGAACGGAUGAUUUAUCUGGUGACAGAAUAUGCUAGUGGAGGGGAAAUAUUUGACCACCUGGUGGCCCAUGGUAGAAUGGCAGAAAAGGAGGCACGUCGGAAGUUCAAACAGAUCGUCACAGCUGUCUAUUUUUGUCACUGUCGGAACAUUGUUCAUCGUGAUUUAAAAGCUGAAAAUUUACUUCUGGAUGCCAAUCUGAAUAUCAAAAUAGCAGGUGAAAAAUGUUCUAAAACUGAUUGUGGUAAUCGUUGCACAACUCUGUGAAUGUGCUAAAAGCCACUGAGCAUUACACUUUAAAUGGGUGAAUUGUAUGGGAUAUGAAAUACAAGAAAUAUGUUAUGGCCAGGUGCAGUGGCUCAUGCCUGUAAUCCCAGCGCUUCGGAAGGCCUAGGUGGGAGGAUCAUUUGAGCUCAGGAGUUCGAGACCAGCCUGGGCAACACAGCAAGACCCUGUCUCUAUUUUAUUCUAUGUU
rnacentral:sRNA from 1 species